UCUAACCAGCAUCCCUUAUUUUAAGUCCCCCCCCCCCCCCCAAAAAAAAGCCAGCAUGCAUCACGAUACGCAUCAAGUCAAACGAACCUUUUGAAAAGUGGUCAAAUCACAGGUGGGUCUGCGUGACGUCACAUCAGCGCCACCUGCUGGGCAGAAAACGCACAACUCUGGUCAACCAAACGGAACCAAAACCUUUGCAGAGAACUUCAGGCUUGUAGGUAUUUGGAGAAAGAAAUAUCCUAACAGCAGCUGACAGACUUGGAGUAAUGAAACAGGCUCUGGUCAGUCAAGGAUCUUUGGUUUGUGUCCGAGAACGUUAAUAAAGAUCUUACUGAUGUGGAAAUACGACCCACUCCUCUUACGGAUCACCAGGAUACACGUGAAGUGUCGCUGCUCAGUCAGAGCUGGAAACUCAAGAGCUCUGACGAAGCAGCAGCAUAAUGAAAACAGCAGCAGGCUGCAGGAUGACAGAAGUGUGGCAGAAGUCAGCAGACAGAGAGCGACGGACGUGACAUGACGGAGGACCCUCGGACCGAAGGAAGAGAAAUCAUCAGGAACGACACGGCUGCACCACGAAGCAGGAUCUGGGCUUAUCCAGGUAACUUCAGGGUUAACCCUGCUGGGUUUUCAGCACCACGACGGUGGUUCACUUCUUACCGGGUGUGAUGGCCCGGCUCAGAGGCCGCAGCAAACAGAGGAAACCACGCCAUGAACUUAACAAAGGGACAGGAGUGAAUGGCAUCUUGGUGAUAUCAGCCUCCUCCAGCCCUGGAAGCUGCUCUCCCUCCUGACUGGUCCAGAGUUCCUCCUGUUCCUCUUUAACGUGUGGAGGCUCUGGGUUCUUCUGGUCCAGACUGGGGCUCCACUUCUCUUUAAUGUGUGGGGGCUCUGGGUCCUCCUGGUCCAGACUGGGGCUCCACUUCUCUUUAACGUGUGGGGGCUCUGGGUCCUCCUGGUCCAGACUGGGGCUCCCCUCCUGCUCCUCAGGGGGAACCUCUUGUUUGCUUCCAAACAGCUGUUGGACAUCUACAGAGAACAGUAAACAAAUGAAAUUAAAUCUAUUUUCUCUGUGCUGAUAACCCCUCCUAAAGGAAAAACAGAACCACCAGAUUCCUAGAACCCCCUCAGUGAGCCCAAUCACCACCUAAAUAGCCCAGUGAAAGUGUUUUGGGUUUAAACUACUGGAUGUAUAUAAAGAAUAUCAUCAAAUCCGAAUUAGAGCUAAAAUGAUUAAUCCUCCUAAUCCUACUAGAGCACUACUAGAACUUCAAUAAGAGCAUCUUCUUACGGGCUUCAAUACCCAUAAGAACCACAUAAAGGAACACCAAAACUACCUACAGAACCCCUUGAACAACCUUAGUGACCAUAAGAACUAGGGAUGAAAUGGUUUAAUGAUAAACCAUGGUAAACGACACAUGUCUUAGUUUUUGUGAGGGGAAACUUGGUUGAAGAAAAUGGACUUAUAGUGAACGCAGGGUGAGUUAACUUUUAGCUUUGCUUUGUCUCUCAUGCUAACAGCGUGUAAACUCAAGCUCUCAGUGUUGAAACAGUGCUCUUUCUGCUGCUGUGUGCAUCGUUUAUGGAGACUCUACUCGUCCACUGCACAUGAGAACACGUUACGCAGUUUAGUCAACCAACCAGCAUCUUCUUAAUUUUAAAUCCAGCAGCUAUCAACUUUGUGAAAGUGUCCGAACAGGAGAAACGCUGCAGUUACUAUCACUGUCUGCUAAAGACUUCUUUGUUUUCAUGCAAUUAUGCAUGGGGUCGUUGCAUUACCUAUAUAAUAUAAAAUAUAAAAUCUUGAUAAUGAU